rnacentral:rRNA from 1 species
GUCUAUGGCCAUACCACCCUGAACGCGCCCAAUCUCGUCAGAUCUCAGAAGCAAAGCAGGGUUGGGCCUGGUUAGUACUUGGAUGGGAAAAAUAAACCAGGACUAAAUUGGUC